rnacentral:rRNA from 1 species
GAUGAACGCUGGCGGCGUGCCUAAUACAUGCAAGUCGAGCGAACGGACGAGAAGCUUGCUUUUCUGAUGUUAGCGGCGGACGGGUGAGUAACUCGUGGAUAACCUACCUAUAAGACUGGGAUAACUUCGGGAAACCGGAGCUAAUACCGGAUAAUAUUUUGAACCGCAUGGUUCAAAAGUGAAAGACGGUCUUGCUGUCACUUAUAGAUGGAUCCGCGCUGCAUUAGCUAGUUGGUAAGGUAACGGCUUACCAAGGCAACGAUGCAUAGCCGACCUGAGAGGGUGAACGGGCACACUGGAACUGAGACAAGGUACAGACUCCUAAGGGAGGCAGCAGUAGGGAAUCUUGCGCAAUGGGCGAAAGCCUGACCGAGCCAAGCCGCGUGAGUGAAGAAGGUCUUCGGAUUGUAAAACUCUGUUAUUAGGGAAGAACAUAUGUGUAAGUAACUGUGCACAUCUUGACGGUACCUAAUCAGAAAGCCACGGCUAACUACGUG